GACGAACGCUGGCGGCGUGCCUAAUACAUGCAAGUUGAGCGAUGAAGAUUGGUGCUUGCACCAAUUUGAAGAGCAGCGAACGGGUGAGUAACGCGUGGGGAAUCUGCCUUUGAGCGGGGGACAACAUUUGGAAACGAAUGCUAAUACCGCAUAACAACUUUAAACAUAAGUUUUAAGUUUGAAAGAUGCAAUCGCAUCACUCAAAGAUGAUCCCGCGUUGUAUUAGCUAGUUGGUGAGGUAAAGGCUCACCAAGGCGAUGAUACAUAGCCGACCUGAGAGGGUGAUCGGCCACAUUGGGACUGAGACACGGCCCAAACUCCUACGGGAGGCAGCAGUAGGGAAUCUUCGGCAAUGGACGAAAGUCUGACCGAGCAACGCCGCGUGAGUGAAGAAGGUUGUCGGAUCGUAAAACUCUGUUGGUAGAGAAGAACGUUGGUGAGAGUGGAAAGCUCAUCAAGUGACGGUAACUACCCAGAAAGGGACGGCUAACUACGUG
rnacentral:rRNA from 1 species